rnacentral:rRNA from 1 species
ACAUACGACCAUAGGGUGUGGAAAACAGGGCUUCCCGUCCGCUCAGCCGUACUUAAGCCACACGCCGGUUGGUUAGUAGUUGGGUGGGUGACCACCAGCGAAUCCUAACUGUUGUAUGUA